AUUGAACGCUGGCGGCAUGCCUUACACAUGCAAGUCGAACGGUAACAGGUUAAGCUGACGAGUGGCGAACGGGUGAGUAAUAUAUCGGAACGUGCCCAGUCGUGGGGGAUAACUGCUCGAAAGAGCAGCUAAUACCGCAUACGACCUGAGGGUGAAAGCGGGGGAUCGCAAGACCUCGCGCGAUUGGAGCGGCCGAUAUCAGAUUAGGUAGUUGGUGGGGUAAAGGCCUACCAAGCCUACGAUCUGUAGCUGGUCUGAGAGGACGACCAGCCACACUGGGACUGAGAGACGGCCCAGACUCCUACGGGAGGCAGCAGUGGGGAAUUUUGGACAAUGGACGCAAGUCUGAUCCAGCCAUGCCGCGUGCGGGAAGAAGGCCUUCGGGUUGUAAACCGCUUUUGUCAGGGAAGAAAAGGCUCUGGUUAAUACCUGGGACUCAUGACGGUACCUGAAGAAUAAGCACCGGCUAACUACGUGCCAGCCGCCGCAGUAAUAC
rnacentral:rRNA from 1 species